GACGCCCCUCCAACCGCUUCGCACCGUGCUGCCCCGUGCACUGCGGAGUGAUAUAUGUGGCGGAGAU
rnacentral:snoRNA from 14 species